AACAUCGCGCACCUGCGGGAACCUGCGGAAGGAUCAUUACAGAGUUGCAAAACCCCCUAAACCAUUGUGAACGUUACCUAAACCGUUGCUUCGGCGGGCGGCCCGGGUCCUUCCCGGCGCCCAUCGGCCCUCGCGGGCGCCCGCCGGAGGUAAACCAAACUAUUGCAUUGUAUGGCCUCUCUGAGUCUUCUGUACUGAAUAAGUCAAAACUUUCAACAACGGAUCUCAGAUCGGAAGAGC
rnacentral:misc_RNA from 1 species